ACUCUACACUGUAAGCCUUUUCUGUAAUUUUUACAGACUUGUUUCUGUAAAACGCCUACAGCGCAGGUCUGUUAUCCUGAUUACAGACACGAGUCUGUUAAUAUUUAAGAAAUACAGAAUUUCGUCCGUAAAUAUGACAUACGGGUGUUUAAAUUAAAGUGACGUCAUCGGUCUUCCUGGGCGCCAUUACUGCGAAGACCGUUAGUUAGCGGCAAAGAGGAAUCCCUCAACAUCGAGCACAAUAGUUGAACACUACAGUCAAUACCAAACAUUGCAGUUUUAGGCACAGCUUAUUGCAUCCUUGAGUGCCAUUCCUGUCAUCUAUAGAGUGGGCUACCCAGCCUUUCUCUGGGUGCAUUUUUGAAAUUAACCCAGAUAACGCACAGAAAACAUGAAAAAGAGGAAGACUCGAGUGUGCCAAAAAGUGGUAUAACUAAUCACUAAACUGUCAAACUUUAAAUGGAUGAAGUACAGUUACAACAAUAGCAACAAUAUACCGGUACUGUGAGAAGGUAUACGACGGUAUAGAUGCCACAUUUUGGUUCAAGGUGCUUUUAAUUCUGGACCACGGUUUGGUUAACAUGGUACAGAUAUUUUAACUGUCCAUUUUCAUCCGAUGCAGAAUACUCCCCUGUAGUUCAUGUGACAAGAAGGAGAAAAGAUGGCUUUCGGCAAUGAAACAUGUGUCCCGCUGAAAGUACAUUCCCCUCCGGCGAACCACAAAUCACGGAUAUAGGAACAUUUUGAAUCAAAAACGUCAGAUGGAAAAGCAGUGGCUAGGGAGCUGGAAACACGUCCAAGAAGAAAUACUGUGAUAUGUAUCGUUGCAACCUAUGAUGCAAUAAUGUUCAUGCAUGCAAACUUUAGGGAUAGGCCUAUUGAGUUUAUGGUUAGUUUUUAUACACCAGCACAUAGUGUGUAUAAAAUAGGUGAUAAGGGACCGAGCCACAACCCUUUUAUGAGUGAUACUUCGUAAAUGAGACUUUAAACGCACUGCAAGAAAUCUUUUUAAUGAAUCUUCUUAAUUAAACUUGAUCUUCUUAUUGUACUUUUGAUAAGAUGUCCGUUUACUUUAAUGGAAAAAUCUUUUGGUCAUUUAAUUUGUCCAUCAACAAUUUGGUACAUUUGUAAAAUUAUCCUCCGUUCAUUUUGUCUCUAAAUAUGCGGCCGUGUUGCAUAAACAUUAAAAUUGUGUAACUCUCAUCUACACAUUUCAUUUUGGGACUGGUUCAUUAACUUUGUCAGUAGUUGAGUUCCAUCUAAAUUUUUAUCUACGAGACUGAAUCAAUUUAUGCCAUUCUCACUAAGGAAUGUACAUGCUUAGGCAGAGUUAUUGUGGAAAAUUUAAUGAUAUACAUUUUCAAACAGAGAUUAAGCUAAUCAUUGAAACAAGCUGUACAUUUAAGGUGGAAUAAUAGGAAUUCUGCAUUGAUGCUGUUCUUGUUUUAAAGUCAUGAUACUUUUGGGGUUCAAUAAUUGUUAGAUUUUAAAUUGUUCAUUUAAACAUUUAGAAUGCAA